CUAAUCUGCCCCUGGAUAAUAAUUAAAUGGCCGCAGUAUUUUAACUGUGCAAAGGUAGCAUAAUCAUUAGUUUUUUAAUUGAGAACUUGUAUGAAUGAUUGGACGAGAUAUAAGCUGUCUCAUAAAAAUUUAGUAUAGAAUUUAAUUUUUUAGUAAAAAAGCUAAAAUAAAUUUGAAAGACGAGAAGACCCUAUAAAUCUUUAUAUUAUAAUAUAUUAUUUUUUUUUAGUUUUAUUUUAAUUUAAUAUAUGUUUUAAUAUUUUAUUGGGGUGAUAUUGAAAUUUAAUAAACUUUCAAAUUUUAUAAACAUUAAUUUAUGAAUUUAUGAUCUUUUAUUAUAGAUUAAAAAUUUAAGUUACUUUAGGGAUAACAGCGUAAUUAUUUUGGAGAGUUCAUAUCGAUAAAAUAGAUUGCGACCUCGAUGUUGGAUUAAGAUUAAUUUUAGAUGUAGCAGUUUAAAAUAUUAAGUCUGUUCGACUUUUAAUUUCUUACAUGAUCUG
rnacentral:rRNA from 1 species